UCGACGUUAAUUGUUUGAAAGACAAAAGACGGCGCGGCUCGCACCUGGCAGCCGGAGACAUCAAGCUGGCGGUGUGAUAUUCAUGAACUCUGGAACCCGGAUUUAAAAAUGAUCUUUUCUGCUCUCCCAAGACGCCGCAUCGUUCUUAAUGCAUAGCCUAAAUUACCCAAAACUUUUUCCAAUUGGUUUGGCAACACAAACCAAUCCAACUGGAAUGGUUUGUGUUGCCUGAGGCCUAAUAAACUGGCGACUAAACUCACCUGCUGAGGAUCGGCUAGAGUGGGCGAGUAGGCCGCGGGAGCGCCAUGUUGGAAAAAGCUGCGUUGUUACUCGAACCGAGCAGCAGAUGAAGAGUGAGCCGACCUUGGCGUCUCAGGCGGUUUGUUUGGCUGAUGGCGUCCCUGAAAUAUCUGUGGAGGAAAACAAUGGCGUCUGGAACUAGCAGCAAAUCGAUUAUGGAUGUUAAGGGGAUUUACAAGCAGGCUGAGGAUCGCUUCAAGCUGCCUGGGGGAUCCGCCCGACCCAUCAAAGGUUGGUUAAGUCAAGCAACUGUUCGAUGGCGGGUCCAGAAGACAUCUCAGGGUAGGAGCUGCUGCGGGUUUGAUGCUAGCUGCUGAUGCUAAAGCUGUUGAAGGCCAACGCUAGGCCUGAUGCUGGUUUGGUUUGAUUCGCCGCUGGGAAGGAUUCUGCCGUUUAAAAGCCUUAAGUCUUGGUUGUGGUCAUUUUGACCUGUGGAGGUUUAGGUGUAAUUACCAUGUUGGAAUCUGAAGUUCAUGGUUAAAAAUCGGUAUUGCCUUAAAAGAAAGAUGGCUGCCAAGGUUUUGGCGAAUACAGUAUAGAGGCUGCAGGAAGUCAUUGAGUUGGGUCAAGUAAAUAUCACUAUAAUAAUCCUUGAUACCAUACCUAUACAUUAUUGGUGAUAAUUCCAUGUGGCUAUGUUGGCAUUUAAUAUAGCUGCAUAAGAUAUUUGUCUUUUAGAUGAAUACUACAUGUUUUUGGGUGGAAAAUGAGGUCUUUUACAUUUCAAUAUACAUACCUUUUUUAUUUUUUGUAUGUACUUAAUACUUAGUUUGAAACCUAAUCUAAGUAUUUCAGAAAUAGGGUCCAUACUUAAAUAAUUUAACUCAAACAAAUUUUAUUUACGUCCAACAACUUAAACAUGACAACCGGUUGUCUUUGCGUCAAACUCGUGGCCUCUUGUGAUUUCAUUUCUUCUGGACGAUGACUUCAUUUCUUCUGGACAACAAUUUCAUUUCUUCUGCAAGACGGCGAUCAACAGAGAUCUGCUGGAGGUCAGAGGUCACAGAGGUAAUAUUCACUGUCUAAUCCACCCUCUCAUUUGCAGGUUUUCCGAUUAAAUUAACAGUUUUCCUUCUAGAGACGAGCCAGUGGGACCUGUCUAAGAGUUUUUAGUCUGUUUUUAACCCAGUUUCUCUCCUAGACCAACAUACCAGCAUACAUUGUGUUGCACCUAACUAUUGUUUUCUCUGAUAAAGCCACAAAAGGAGCUUCUACUGCAACUAACUCUUUAUUUUCUCCAAUAUAGAAAUACUCCUGCAGCAGCUCUUUCUUUCUGUCUCUCUGCUCUGUCCUUUCUAUUCCCCCGGGGGUCAUGACAGAUGGCCUUUCAGAACCACCUUCUGGUUCUGCUGGAGGUUAGUUCCUGUUAAAGGGAAGUUUUCCUCUCCACUGUCAGUACAUACAUCUUCAUUAUGAGGCACUGCCUAAGCUUAUAUAACUUUUAACCAAUUAAAAUAAUUGGUGUAGUGAUCUUUUUUUUCUCAUUAGGGAAGUCUUCCUGUUAAAGGGAAGUUUUUCCUCUCCACUGUCACCAUGUGCAUCCUCAGUUUGUCUAUAGUAAUAAUACAGUUUCAAACAGUUUCAAGCUCAUGGUUCAGAAUUUAAGGCUUUGUCAAUACAAUCUGAGCAAGAAGAUAUAAAAGCCAAACAAGUUUUUGUCGACUUGAAGACUGAAGAUCCUGUGGACAUCAAGAAGGCCACUAUGGCACUGGACUCUGAACCAAACCGUGGGAAAUGUGGUUUGCUACGUCCUAUAUCCAAUCCUCAAGACUUUGAAGUCAUUGGAGGAUUUCAAAGAAAAUUGGUAACGGGUACAACAAAGCAGUUGAUCAAUCUGGGAUUCUCUGGUCUGUGAUCAAAUGUGGAAUUUAUUCUAAAAGGCAUGUGGGCGCAAAGGAGCGGCGGGGUAAAAGGUGUGUGGGCGCAAAGGAGCGGCGGGGUAAAAGGCGUGUGGGCGCAAAGGAGCGGCGGGGUAAAAGGUGUGUGGGCGCAAAGGAGCGGCGGGGUAAAAGGCGUGUGGGCGCAAAGGAGCGGCGGGGUAAAAGGCGUGUGGGCGCAAAGGAGCGGCGGGGUAAAAAGCUUGUGUAGAAAAUGUGUGUGUGUGUGUGUGUGUGACGACAAAAACUGACUAGACAAACAACCCAUAGGGGAAAAGUCCUUCAGACAAACCCACAGGACCCUGCCCCCUCCCCCCCACAACAACAAAGGAUGCAGAAGGCCUUCAUUGCACCCCACUGAUGGAUGAGCAUAAUAACCCAAGAAAUGCUGCAGGAAUCUCCUGCAUCAUCUUGUUUUCGUCUCAGACUUGGCCCUCGUCGCCCCCCCAGGACCGCCGCAGGAGGCCCCUCGUCGACCGCCGCAGGAGGCCCCUCGUCCCACUUCGCUGAUUGAUGACCUUACGACCUAAGAAAUGCUGCAGGAAUCCUCUCCAUCGCCCCACCAUCAACUGACGGAAAAGGCCUUCAUCACCCCCGCUGAUGGAUGACCUGAGUGACUCUACUGUUGGGUUCAGCUGGUUUUCUGGAGGAAACCCUGCAAGUGAAUCCUCCUGGAUGAUCUUGAUUUUGACUCUGAUUUGGCCCUUCAUUGCUCCACCAUCGACCGAGGGAAGAGGCCUACAUCACUUUUUUUUUUUUUUUUUUUUCAAGGACAGUUUUGUUCAAAGACUAAAUGAUCCAAUUUAUUUUGGAUAUUUAAAAUGUCCUCCAGUUUUAGUGUUAAAUGUUAGAAUUUAAUGUUUCUUGUUCUUGAGAAAGUGUUUCAUGGUUAUUGCAUUAAGGAAAAGCUCAGUCUGGUUUAGGUUUUCCUCUGUAGUUAUGUUGCUAUAGGUUUAGGUUACUGGAGGAUGAACUGAUCACUUUUCUGUUUUACAUUAUUUGCUGUUAUCUCCAAUGGAGCUCCACCUGGUCUGGCGUUCUGAUUGGCUGGUUCCUUCCUGGAGGAGGGCACCAGCUGGCAUGAUGCUGCCAUCACCUAGCCGUUGUUCCUCUCCUGCUGUUAACUCUUCACUCCAUGAAUGUAGGAAGUUCUCCUGACCAGCUGACCUGUUGUCUCUGCUCCGUCUUCUCAGCUCCUUCUCGGCAGUGGUUUCAGAUGGCUGCUGGUUCUGAGCCCGGUUCUGGUUCUGCUGGAGGUUUCUUCCUGUUAGAGGAGAGUUCUUCCUCUCCACUGUGGCUACAUGCAUGCUCCGUAUGAGGAAUUGAUGUAAAGACAAGGACUCAACACAAGCGCGUAGCUGUGGCCCCCUGCUGGUCAGGAGGAGUGAAUGCUGUAAGUAAUGACUUCAUGCAGUCUGCUGGGUUUCCUUCGGUAUAAACUCUAAACUGUUUUAAUUAACUUAGCUUAUUGUACUAAUUAUAAUUGGAAUAUAUGUGAACAAAAAAAUUUCACUUCGAAGUGCAUUGAGACAAUUGUUGUGAAUUGGCGCUGUAUAAAACUGAACACCUAAACCAACAAAUGUGCCCAACCAAUACAAACCCCCCCCAACAACCAAUACAAACCCCCCCAACAACCAAUACAAACCCCCCCAACAACCAAUACAAA